GUUACUCUCCCCCUGCUAAAUAAAGAAAAUCACCACGGUAAAAGGUGCCUCUUUGCCCAGUUAGCAGGGGCAGGCCUAGUUAGCAGGGGCAGUUAUAUUACGAUCACAGUUUUAUUACGAUCACAGACCAGCACAGCACACAGCUCAGCUUGCAGCUCCUAAGGCUCAGCAAAACUUCCCUUAUAUUAUUGCCUUAUAUUAUAUUAUUAUAUUAUUGCUCUUUCUGCACAGAUCCCUGUGCUGCUCUUCCAGGUGCAGGCUCUGCAAGAGAGGAAACAGCAGGAUGGAAGCUUUCAUUGAUUCCUGCUUGCCAGAUUAUGGGCUCCAUUGGGUCUGCUUUGGCAGGAAAGAGGCAAUCUCUUCCUCCCUGUCCCUUUCAAAGGGUUAAGAAGGAAUAAAAGAGAAAGCCCAAUCACAGCUCAUGGCUGAGAUUCUUGGGGAGGCUGGCCUCAGGAAUACUCUUCAGCUUCCUCUGGCCUUUUAUGUACUAAUGUAUAAUUAUUUAUUAAUAGAUAUAUGCCCUGCCUUUCAAAUAUAUUUUCCUAGGGAGCUUACAGAACAAGAAUUAACAUAUUAUAAAGUACAAAGAACUAUAAUAAAGAUUAUAAUGAUAAAGCAGCAGAUAAAAAGAAACUGCAGAUAAUAAAGCAUAAACCAAUCCAAUUUGAGGACAAAGAGCUUCUUAAAAAUCCGGGUAUAAUUAAAAAAAGUAUUUUCCCAGCCGCUGAAAAUAAUACAGUGUAGGCACCAGGUAAACAUCCCAAGAGUAUUCCAUUAGUGGGGCACCAUACAUUCCAUUGAUGGGAUGCCGCCACCAAGAAGAUCCCACUGCAACUCAUUUGGCAGGAGCACCCAAGUAAGAGCCUUUAAUUAUGACCAAAGUGAUAAAAGCUGAUAUAAAAGCAGAUGAUUCAAGUAGGAACAUAGGAAGUUGCCUUAUACUGAGUCAGACCAUUGGGCCAUCUAGCUCAGUAUUGUCUACACAGACUGGCAGUGGCUUCUCCCAGUUUGCAAACAAGAGUCUCUCAGGAAUCUCAUCUCCUUUCUUGGAGAUGUCAGGGAGGGAACUUGGAACCUUCUGCAUCCAAGCAUGCAGAUGCUCUUCCCAGAGCAGCCCCAUUGCCUAAGGGGAAUAUCUUACAGUGCUUACAUGUAGUCUCCUAUUCAAAUGCAAACUAGGGCUGACCCUGCUUAGCAAAGGGCACAGUUCUCACUUGCUACCACAAGACCAGCUCACCUCCCUGGAGAUCAGCUUACCUCCCUAAAGCAGGGGUUCCCAACAGGAGGUACUGUACCGCUAGGUGUACUAGAAGGGCUCCCAGGGGGUACUCAGAGCCCUCCUGGCGCUGAAUAAACACAAAUAUAAAUGUUGCAGUUAUGAGAGAAACUACUGCAAUCACUGGCUCACAUUUAGAUUAAGAUACUCAUAAGCAGUUUUAUUGGCAUUAAUGGGAAAGGUUUACCUGUCCUAUUAAUUUUAAUUAGUACCUGUACACACACACGCACACACACACACACAGAGUCUCUAUGGGGUACUUGAGUCAAAGGUUUGUGACAGAAGGGGUAUACUUGUUUUCAAAGGUUGGAAACCCUGGUCUAUAGAUUCCAGAUUCAACAUUCUAGCCAUUGCAUCACUGGUUCUUACCGUUCAAAGAGCUGUUCUAAUUGGCACUUCUAGCUACUUGUAAUUAUUGGGACAAAAGUAACUUUUUGUUGCAGAGUUUUGCAGAUUUGCAGUCUCAAUGAAGGCAGAAGCAUUUUGGCCAGCUCAAAAGGUGAGUUCAGGGCAAGUGAACUUGAUUCUUCCAGAUCCAGCAAAUUCAGGCAACAGAUGCAGAAUGAUUCUGUCAUUUAUGGAUGGCACUAUGAGCAUGCAUUUUAAUCUUAGGCCAACAUUAGCAUGAAUAUAUAAAUAGACUCAGAAAUCAUGUAAGCAAAAUUACCAUUUGAUUACUGGUUUCCUGGCGAAGACUGCAUCCAGAGCAGCAGUGUUAUCACAUUUCAUUGCAGUUUUGUCCCUCACCGUUACAGUACUAAUCUUUGCAUAUUUUUCUUCCAGAAUCGUAGGCUCAAGUUUCAUUAUAGAUUACUUGUAAGGCGAUCUGGGAUCCUGUUGUUGGAAGGAGCAACUUAGGAUAUGAUGCACUUGGAUCCAGUCAAGUAUAUGGAAAAUACACUGAGGUUAUUAUCACAGGCAGAGAUCAUAGAGAAAGGCAAAAGAAUGGACAGAAUUGAAAGAGUUAUGUAUAAAUUGUUCCACCUGACUGAAAUCUGAAACACUGCUGCUCUUCAUAGAAGUUAAAAUGGUAAAGGACAGUCACAGUUUGAAGGCUAUAUCACUAUGAACUUGGCGGGUCUGGGUGACUAAUCAGUUUCUUUGCUGUAGAGAGAACUAUUUCCAUUUCCUGCUUCAUGUACUAGGACAAUUAUAUUCCAGCAGCUGGCAUUGAAUAUGGGCUGAAACCAGUUUUCAGUUUAUUAUGAUGACUCUUUUGAAUAGCACAUUGCAGUCACUUGGGGUAGCAAAAUAUCUUAGGAUGUCCCUCCUUGGAGGAUUGUAUAAGCCAAAACCAGCUCUUCAGAAAUAACAGGGAAUUAGCACAGUUUUCUCUAAAUUAUUUCUAAACCUUACAGAGGAACAAAUAUCGUUAUGAUAUGCAGGUAUGCAUACAGUGAGGGAGCCCUAGCUCAAUGGUACAGCACAUGUUUUGCAUGCAGACAAUCCCAGGUUCAUUCCUUGGCAUCUCCAGUUGCAAAGAUGUCAAGAAGCAGGACUAGCGAAGACUCCUGAGACCACGGAGGUCUGAGACCUUUGAGAGAUACUGCCAGUCAGGGCAAGAAGUAUUGGGCUAGAUGGCCUCAUGCAUACAACUUAUAAUCUUCCCUGCAUAUAUAAUGGCUUUUAUUCAACAGCUGAUAUCAAUAUAAUUAAAUGAGAUAGAGAAGUACCUUUUCUUGCUUCCCAUAUAUCCUGUGUAGAAAUCCAUCCAUUUAUUAUUCAGUUUCAUGGUCAUUCAUCAAUAUGUGAUUUUAUUAGAGAGCAAAUGUAACUGUCAAUUGCCACUGCUGUAAGUAUUGGAUAUCUGGUGCUAGAGAAAGCAGGAAUAAUAAGCACAGGAAAUAUCAAUAUGGAUUAAUGUGAGGGCCAUAGAGCUGAGGAAUUAUUCAUUUGGGUUUGGUUGCAUAAUAUAUAGUAAAGUGAGAUAAAUUCGUGAUUCAGAUCUCAUUGAUCUAGCUGGAACUCACUGAAGAUUGUGGCUAGGUUUUUGGCUUUGUUUCUUUGCAAGCUUCCCAUUGGAAGCUUAAUCAUUUAAUUCAUUUGUUUGUAAAAUUUCUAUAUUGCUCCAUAGCAAAUUUCUCUGAGUAGUUUCCCAUAAAAUACAGUAAAAUCGAUUUCAAAACCACCAUAUAUAUGUGAGAGAGGGAUUAAAAACAAAACCUGCAGCUCAGAAACUGAGUAAGUUAAAAGCUCUUUGAAAUUAAAAGGAUUUUCACCUACCAACUGAAAUCCAGUAGGAAGGGUGCCAAGCAAAACUCCCUGGGCAGGAAAUUCUUCAGCUAGGGUGCUACUACUGAGAAGGCUGUAGAUCUGGGGUGGCCAACCUGAGGCUCUCCAGCUGUUGAUGACUACAACUCCCAUCAACCCCAGCUGCAAUUUAUUGCAACUGGGAAUGAUGGGAGUUGUAGUCCACCAACAGCUGGAAAGCUUCAGAUUAGCCACCCCAAUUUAGUUAUAAGAUCCCUGAUCUAGUUAUUAAAUCCCUGGCAUGAUGAGACGUGGUACAAAGGGAUGCAAGGUGGGGAAGCUCUUGUGUGUCCCAGAACAGAAGAUGCAUAUAAGAUUCUUGAUCUACAGCCUUCUCAGGAGAUCAGGGAUCUUCUCAUGCAGGCAGUGGACCAACGUGGCCAGAGAAAUGUGGCUGCCUCAUCACACCAUACUCCUUCUUUCAUGCCAAGCCCAAAAUAUGUUGUAUGAAGUUAUUGGGACAGCUGGACUCUGGUGGGGCUGCAGGUAGGCAAGGAGGAUCCUUAACUGUUAUGGGAGUGAGCCAAGCCAGAGAAAGGAAGCUCCCAAUACUGACAAGCUGCCAACAUGAUCCUUCAUAGGGGACUGUGAUCCCAUUUAGAUUACACUAUUCACCAGUUACUCAGUUUAAUACCCAGCCUUGUCUUAUGGACUGAGCUUCAGUUUAUUGGGCCUCAUCCAUUGCAGUCCCGGUUCCAGACAAUGAUUCAGGAAUUUCAUUGUUUUUUAGGAUGUUAGACUAAGGGGCCAUCCACCUAAUGGUGCAAUGGGGAAAUGACUUGAUUAGCAAGCCAGAGGUUGCUGGUUUGAAUCCCCGCUGGUAUGUUUCCCAGACUAUGGGAAACACCUAUAUCAGGCAGCAGCGAUAUAGGAAGAUGCUGAAAGGCAUCAUCUCAUACUGCACAGGAGGAGGCAAUGGUAAACCCCUCCUGUAUUCUACCAAAGACAACCACAGGGCUCUGUGGUGGCCCGAGUCGACACCGACUCGACGGCACACUUUUACCUUUAGGAUAAGGGAAGAUAUAACUCAUCUACAUAUCGAUGAUACUACGCUCUAUAUCCCCUGACGUUCUUCCUCAGUGAUUUAACUGAAACGCGAAAAAUAUUAGGGAACAGAAAUUAAUCCCCUGGCACCCACAAGGAAACUCAAAUGGACAUGAACCUUCUAGCACUACUUUCUAAAACCUACUUGGAAAUAGGAGUGGAAUCACUAACAAAAUAGCCACCUUGCCAGAUAAUCCAGAAGAAUAUCAAAGUCAGUCAGUCAGUCAGAAUAUUAAAAUCAGACACCUCUGAGAGGUCCAGGAGCAUCAACAGGAACAAAAGUUACCUUCUCUGUCCCCCAGCAAAGAUCAUCCAUCGGCACAACAAAGGCAGUUUAUGUUCAAAAGUUAGCAGGGGUAACAAGAAAACUACAGUACAGCAAAGAAAACUACAAUACAGCAUGGAAAGUACAUGCCUCAUAUUUUGCAAAUUGAUCACACUGCCACUAAUUUCCAUGAGGCUCCAGGCAGGAGCAAUGAUAAAUGUAUGAGCAGUUAUUCUAACUGUAAGGACCCAAAAUGGGUUCUAGAUUUUGUUUUUCCUGAUUUUGCAGAAUCGGUGUCUCUUUAUGUGUCAUUUCCUAGUGUAGAUAAAACGGUGGAAGCAAAUGUACAAACUUUAGCAGCUAGCUUACUGACAUUAAAAUAAUAAUAAUAAUAAUAAUAAUAAUAAUAAUAAUAAUAAUAAUAAUAAUAAUAAUACUCCUAGACCUCAUGGGCAUGGCACUGAAGCUUGCAAGCCUAAAGGAGUUUGUAUCCUAGAGUCUGAAUCACUGUUAAACAGCUGGUUGUAGUGCUACCUAAAUUAUAUGUUAAAUAGAACUUGACUUAUUUAGGAAUAUGCUUCUCACUCUUCCAACAUGCAGCUUCUUUGUACCUCCAACUGCUAUGCAAAUGCCCUUGAA